rnacentral:rRNA from 1 species
AUAUAGUCGCGUGAAUCAUCGAAUCUUUGAACGCAAGUUGCGGUAUUCGCAAGAAUACCAUGUUUGGCUGAGGGUUGUUUAAACCAAAAUUGAGGUGUGUUUUCUCUCUCUUCUGUAGAGAGAACUCCCUUUAAAUGAAUUACAUGUUUUUCAUGUGUGCGAAAGCCAUAUGAAAUACUUGAUUGAUUUGAUUUACUUCAAGUCAGUUUGAGUACAAUGGAAAAGAAACACAAAAUGAAGAAGGAAAUUGAAUUCAAUUUUCCAAUUCAAAUUUGCAAGAGUGAGAGGCUUUAUUGCCUCUUGCUUGCUUAAAUAAGCCAAGUUUGUCUUUGGAUUGAUGCGUUCUCUUUCAAUCUCUCAUGUUUUUUCUUCCGCUCAAAACUAAAAACGCAACCUCAGAUCAAGCAAGACUACCCGCUGAACUUAAGCAUAUCAAUAAGCGGAGG